GAUCGGUGGAGAGAAUGAUUGCUAUCCUGACUGAAAACUAUGGAGGCAAAUGGCCACUCUGGAUAUCUCCUCAGCAAGUGAUGGUAAUACCAGUUGGACCAACGUGUGAUGAAUAUGCACAAAAGGUGAAGCAACAGUUCCAUGAUGCUGGCUUAAUGGCGGAUGUUGAUGUGGACCCUGGUUGUACUCUGAAUAAGAAGAUCAGAAAUGCUCAGCUUGCCCAGUACAAUU